GGUGGACGCUCUAUUAUCAACGUUACGGUAAGAGAGGGAUGACGUAGAGGCGCACCUACACUUGGGAAGGACACCAGCCGACCGAGCAGGAGCCUCGCAAGGACGUGCGGAUCAGGCUGGACUCGACGGACGCGGACGGAGACCCACUGAACGGCGUCCGCACAGGCGUCUCUGACUCAUCGUAUCUGCGCGAGGCUGACCGCGCACAUGUGACAGAGGAGCGGUCGCAGGAGCAGGAUCCCGUCAUGUCACGCGUCCAGAGGGACGGCGCCUCUGCGAACCCAGCGGACAGCAGAAAACCAGAGCCGAGAGCCAACGAGAAGAAGUGCUCCUGGGCCUCCUACAUGACCAACUCCCCAACAGUGAUCGUAAUGAUCGGGCUGCCUGCGAGAGGCAAGACCUACAUGUCAAAGAAACUCACACGCUACCUUAACUGGAUCGGCGUUCCAACCAAAGUGUUUAACUUGGGUGUGUAUCGCAGAGAAGCCGUCAGAUCCUAUAAAUCCUAUGAUUUCUUCCGCCACGACAAUGAGGAGGCCAUGAAAAUAAGGAAGCAGUGUGCUCUGGUAGCGCUGCAGGACGUGAAGGCGUACCUGACGGGGGAGGGGGGGCAGAUCGCGGUCUUUGACGCAACGAACACAACAAGAGAACGGCGAGACCUUAUCCAAGCUUUUGUGAAAGAGAAUGCUUUUAAGGUGUUCUUUGUGGAGUCAGUGUGUGACGACCCAGAGGUCAUCGCUGCUAAUAUUCUGGAAGUGAAGGUGUCCAGUCCAGACUACCCUGAGAGGCACAGAGAGAGGGUAAUGGACGACUUUCUCAAAAGAAUCGAGUGCUACAAGGUCACUUACCAGCCUCUGGAUCCUGAUGAUUACGACAAGGACCUGUCGUUCAUCAAGGUGAUGAACGUGGGCCGGCGUUUUUUGGUGAACCGGGUGCAGGACUACAUCCAGAGUAAGAUCGUCUACUACCUCAUGAACAUCGACGUGCACUCGCACUCCAUCUACCUGUGUCGCCACGGGGAGAGCAGCCACAACGUGGAAGGCCGCAUCGGGGGAGACUCCGAGCUCUCUCCUCGCGGGAAACAGUUUGCCGGUGCCCUGCGCGAUUUCAUCGAGCAGCAUGAACUGUCCAAUUUGAAGGUGUGGACGAGCCAACUGAGGAGGACCAUCCAAACGGCGGAGGAGCUGGCGGUGCCGUAUGAGCAGUGGAAGAUACUCAAUGAGAUUGAUGCUGGUGUGUGCGAGGAGAUGACCUACGAGAUGAUUCAGAAGACCCACCCAGAGGAGUUUGCUCUGAGGGACCAGGACAAAUACCACUAUCGGUACCCAGGAGGAGAGUCCUACCAGGAUCUGGUUCAGCGGCUGGAGCCUGUCAUCAUGGAGUUGGAGCGGCAGGGAAACGUGCUGGUCAUCUGCCACCAGGCCGUGAUGCGCUGCCUUCUGGCCUACUUCCUGGACAAAAGUGCAGAGGACCUGCCCUACAUGAAGUGUCCGCUCCACACCGUGCUCAAACUUACCCCUGUGGCGUAUGGUUGUAAAGUGGAAAUGUUUUAUCUUGACGUGGAGGCAGUGAACACACACCGAGACCGGCCCCUUGGUAAAAUCCCGAGGGACUCAGCUCUUAUACAUCGGCGGAAUAGUUACACUCCGCUGUCCAGUCACGACCAGGUCAAGCGCCCCCGGCUCUACAGCGCAGGCAACCAGCCCUGGCUUCCACUCGCCCCCACCCCGUCGGCUCUGAUGCCUGAGGGACGGCAAAGCCAAGUUAGUGCAGGCCUUCCCUCUGAACCAGCCACUGUUCAACCUGACCCGUCACCUCCCAAACCCGUUGUAACCCUGUGUGUGGCAUUUCCUCACCCCGGUUUUGGAUCCUUCCACAGAUUUAGUGUGUGUUGAAACUGACGUACAUGGAAUCCAUCUGUGUGUUUCUCUCUCUGAGCAUGUGCGGCAUCUUGAAUGGUUGCUCUGUUCCUUUAUCGUUUGUCCUGCAUGACCUCUGCUUUCCUCCUGGCUGUCUCUAGCUUGAAUAUGCAGAACAGAAUGACUUUCUAUGAGCCACAAAGACGCCAGUGACGUCCGAAACCCUAGUUUGUCUCAAAUCAUUAUGAUGGUGCACCUCAACCUCACCACACAACAUUAGGUUUAUAACAGAAACUUUUUUUGCCUAAACGUAAUAAAAGCGAGAUUUUAAAGAGUAAGAAAACAUAAUUUAUUAUGUCUGCGAUGAAGUGUUUGAAGAUGUUUGUUGUGUUUGAUGGCCUUGCAUUGUGCUUCCGCUCUUCUCCACAUCUCUAUCUUUCUCUUUCUCUACUCUCUCCAACUGUCUUACAGACCUGGAUAGGAAACAGUUGUCUGAGUCCCUGCAUGAAGGAAGCGACUGCGAUGGCACCGAACAAACUAGUGGCUGUGACCGCUUUUGAGGGAAGAUGAACGUUUUUCAUUCGUGGCACAGUUUGGAGAUUCAGCCAUGAUUCAUAGUUUUGAUUCAGCAGUUCAUUUUGAAAACCAGGUUUCCUGGGCACAAAGCCAUCUUUUCCAUCUAUUGCAACAUUUCUGUUUGUUGAUACUCUGCAUGCUGAGGCUUUUAACUGGAGUUAGUGUCGUAAACACCUCUGCAUGUGAACCAAAAAAGAAAAUCAACACAAUAUAUACUGCAUAACAAUCCUGACUAUAACUGAUGCAAUGCCUUACUGAACUAAUAGACAGAAUUACAUAGACUAAAUCAUCCAUGCUAUGUAUGUAACAGAAUGAGUAUUGCAAAAAGAACAUGUUACAAAGUAGCUGCAAGAUGUAGAAAUAUAUUUUAUUAUACAAAUCUACUUAUGUAAUUUGCACAAUCUGUAGUUGUGCUUCUUAUCCAAUGUAUUCGUAAGCAUCAUCGUUUGUGUCAUGUGUUUCAGAUUCAGAAUGUAAAAUUGAAAAUUACUUUGUUGUUUGUUCCAGUAGUUAUGGAAGGAUAACAAGUAAAGGUUACCAGUGGACAGCAGUACACCUUAAAUUGAUUGCAUAUUUGUCAGACUGUUCUUCUCACAGCAGCGUUGUGCCUUUUGGUAGACAAAUUAUUUGUUUUUUCCCAGAUAAUGUUGUAUAACCUGCUAUAAAUUAUUUAUGUAUUAUCAGAAGGUAGAUUUAUUAUAUUUAACUGCUUUUGGAUUAAAAUGAAAGGUUUUACAGGACUUCAGAUUUCAAAUAUUACAUCUACAAUAAAGAAACACAACUGAAACGUA